GUUCCUGUGUCUAGUGCCUGAAGAGACUAGAUGAAGCUCCCUGGAUCUGGACUUAUAAGCAGUUGUGAGACCCUAGUGAGGGUACUAGCACUGAACUCAGUCAUUUUUUUAUAGCACUACAUGAACCCUUACCUGUUGCUAUAUUUUUCCAGCCCUAUGGCUAUUUUGGCUACACUGACCAUUUUAGCAAGUUUUUUAAAACUUAUUUGUUUGCUUUUUUGUUUGUUUUCUGUUGUUUUGUUUGUAAUCUUUUAGGGUUUAGAAUGUGUGACAAGAUUGACUGACAAUGAAGAUGAUUCAUGACCAAAUAAUCCUAUAGAUCAUAUCCCUAUAAACAACCAGAAAAUUGGGCAGAUGCACACAUGGAGAAGUAGGGGAAGAACUGGAGUAGAAGGGAAGAAGGGAAGAGGAGAAAUAAAUGAAGGAGAAAGAGAGGAAUCUGUUUCCCAAUUUGUUGGAGCCAUCAUCACAUACAGGAAAAAGGAGAGGUACAACCAGAAGUGAAAGAGCAUCUGCAUGGCUUUUAAAAGAUUCCUGCCAUUUAACAUGUUGAUGCAAUGGAUGAAGUCUCACCCACCCCAGAGGGAGAAGAGAAAAGGCUGACUGAGUUGAAAUUAUCCUAGAUUGUCUUUGAAGAACUAGGCAGAGGGCAUCAAUAAAUAGCAGGGAAAGGUA
rnacentral:lncRNA from 1 species